GAAAACUUUCUGGGCCAUGCAGUGUGCUCGCAGCUGUUACAGAAGUGCCAUAGGCUGCAGACCUGUGUCAGCCUCGGAGCUCUCUGGCUCUGAUGAGGACUGCCUCAAGGAUCUGACAGGAGGAAUUGAGUAUGCUGCCAAGAUAUUAAAUGAAAUUCCCCAGAAAGACAUUCAGUGCACUAAAAGAGCCUCAAAGGCAGAAAGGGAAGGAAAUGGGCAAGGGAAUUCAUCACCGUAGGAUUGUACCAGGAGAGAUGAAAAGUCCCUUGAGCUUUUGCUGUCUCUACUGCAGGACAGUGAUGGAUACCUGAGUGAUGUUGAGCAAGCGCUUGGAGCUGUACAAACCAUGAGAAAUACUGAGGAGACAGCAUUUGAAACUUGACGAGCUGUUAGGUACAAAUUUGCUCCAGUUGUGCUGACUUGGGUAACUGGUGAAGGGUAUAAUGCUGCUGCUGCUUUUUGAAAUAGAGCGUUGAACUCUAUUCACUGCUAUAUAGCAGCUAGCCAAUUUUAUCAUCUGCAUUGUGCUCACAGGCACUAGAUAGCAUUAGCCGGGGAGAUGCUUGAGUCUCCAGUAUUUUUGUUUUCACCGUGUUCUUUGGUAUGCUCUGAUUGCUCUGUGGUACAGUAGCAGAUACAACUUUCUCAUCUGAGCAGUCUUUGUCCUUUUCACCAGGAAUGUUACCUGCUCUGUACAGGCUUAGUGAUUGGUGGUAUUGCUGCAAAAAUCUGUCUGGCCCUUUCAUUUCAAUUAAAAAUGAACAGGUUGGAGGGGGACACCCCCCAAACCAUUGCUAAGGAUACUAAUAGUCUGGUCACCCUCCUCGGUUAUUCUAGCGUCGUGGAUUAUUCCUGGGUAAAUAUCAUUCGGGUUUUCCCCGAACAGUAGAGCAAAGUAGUAAUGCCAUGUAAAGUGCUCCACAGACAAACCUCUGGAGAGUUCUUAAAAAGAGUCUAGAGCUGGUAACAGACUUGACAUGUGGUCACUUCGAUCACCACUAAAGCGCAGUCACCUCCAAGCCAGAAAUACAGCAGGCCUCCUUUACCAAAAAUCAGACUGGUUAACAUGCUGUGGGGCUCUUGAUUCUGGAAACUGAACCAGCUCUGCUUUGGAAAAGCAGCAAACUCUGGCCUCUUUGGAAUUUGGCCUUGUUGGACUUUGGCUGAAACACCUGUGUGACACUAAAUUAAAAAGUCCCUCCAAGUUCUGAUGACCAGAAGAUGUCAGUGCUUUAAAAAAAUUAAAAAAAAAAUACUUUGAACCUGGGCAAAUAUUUCACACAGUUCCCUGACAUUUUUAAUAGAGUUUUUAUUGAUUACAGAGGGAGCUUUAAGUACUGGCUUUUCUAGUGUUGGACCUCUUCACUAAACAGCUGCACCUAAAUUUUAGCAGAUGUUUCUCUAUUUUGGGCUUUUUGAAACCUCCAAGGAUUUU